rnacentral:rRNA from 1 species
GUCUAUAUGAACAUCUAUAUAGUCUAACCUGCCCAUUGACAGUAAUGUUAAAAGGCCGCGGUAUUAUGACCGUGCAAAGGUAGCAUAAUCAUUAGUUUUUUAAUUUGAAACUUGUAUGAAAGGUUGGACAAAGGAAAGACUGUGUCUAUUGUAAAUCUUGAAUUUAACUUUUAAGUGAAAAGGCUUAAAUAAAUUAGAGGGACGAUAAGACCCUAUGAAGCUUUAUAAGUGGUAAAAGUUAAUUAAAUUAAAAAUAAAAUUGUAGUUUUAUAUUCUUAUUAUAUUGGGGCGAUAUAAAUAUAAAUUAUUUAACUGUUUAUAAAAAAGACAUUUAUUAGUGAUUUUUUGUUAGAUGAUCCUUUCUAAAGAUUUAAAGUCUAAGUUACUUUAGGGAUAACAGCGUUAUUUAUUUUGAGAGUACUUAUCGAAAAAUAAGUUUGCGACCUCGAUGUUGAAUUAAAUUGUCUUUAUAGUGCAGCUGCUAUAAAAGAAAGUCUGUUCGACUUUUAAAUAUUUACAUGAUUUGAGUUCAGACCGGCGUAAGCCAGGUCAGUUUCUAUCUUCUAAAUUUGAAUAAUUACUUUAGUACGAAAGGAUUAAGUAAUUAAAAUAGUUUUGAGGUUAAAUAUA